UUUCCUUCAAACCUGAAGAUAAAGGCUUUAUGAAGCUUUUAUUUGACAAUCUGUUUGUUUUUAAUUAUUUUAUUUCUCUAUUAAUUCCUUUAAGCUUUUAGAAUUGAAAAGAACUUAGUCUCUUGUUUUGGUUAUCAGAUCAAUACACUCUGCAUCUGCCAAGCAUUCUAUAGUGCUCCGUCACUUCUGAUUUCAGAAAUUAAGCCCUGACUAGGUUCUUCUUGAACAGACUUUGAAACAUUGCCAUUUAUGUCAUUAGCUCUGUUACUCCAUAUCACGCUUUAUUCACAGGAGCCAUGCUUUGAAUCCUAAGAAGAAGAGGACUGCACCUUCACAACUAGUUAA